UGAAACACGGACCAAGGAGUCUAACAUAUGCGCGAGCUAAUGGGUGGAAAACCCAAAGGCGCAAUAAAAGUAAACGCUGUUUCGGACAGCUAAGGUACGAUCCUAGAAUCCGAGCGAUUUUGGGCGCAGUACCGUCCCGUCCCGACCGCAUAUCGGUAGGGCGGAGAUAGAGUGCAUACGUUGGGACCCGAAAGAUGGUGAACUAUGCCUGAGCAGAGCGAAGCCAGAGGAAACUCUGGUGGAGGUUCGUAGCGGUUCUGACGUGCAAAUCGAUCGUCAGACUUGGGUAUAGGGGCGAAAGACUAAUCGAACCAUCUAGUAGCUGGUUCCCCCUGAAGUUUCCCUCAGGAUAGCUGAUACUCGGGAAAUAACGAAGUUUUAUCCGGUAAAGCGAAUGAUUAGAGGCAUUGGGGACGAAUUGACCUCAACCUAUGCUCAUACUUUAAAUGGGUUAGAAGUCUAGCUUGCUCGAUGGAAGCCCGACGUAAGAUUUCGAGUAUCUGGGUGGGCCAUUUUUGGGUAAGCA
rnacentral:rRNA from 1 species